rnacentral:rRNA from 1 species
AUGGAGCCUAAAAAUGUUCACUCGUCUCCGCGCGCCCCUGUCUCGGCUCUUUGCCACUGGCACAUGCAACAUGGCGAGAAGAGAGGAGUACCAUAUAACUGGAAUUACCGAUGCAAGUCGAAGAGGGAUUGGCCGGUGCUGCCGGCUGGCGUCAAGUUCGAUCCCACGGAUCAGGAGCUGAUCGAGCACCUUGAGGCCAAAAGUGGCCUAAGGAAGCAUAUCUUCCAGCGCAAUUCCAGGGUGUUCAAAAGGGGCACGUGGACGCGUUGCAAGAUACAGUCGGAGUGUGGCAUGCACGCGAUGUGGCACAAGACCGGCAGUACCUUGCCGGUGAUGGUCAACGGCCGGCAGACGGGCAGCACAAAGGUUCUGGUGCUACACACCAACAAGAACUUCGACCAGCAGAGGACCAACUGGGUGAUGCACCAGUACCACCUCGAGGACCUGGAGCAAGAGAAGGAGCGGGAGCUGGUCCUCUCCAAGAUUUUGUACCAGACAAACACUAGGGCCAGGAGUAAAAAGAUCAUAAGUUAG